GGUGCGCUACAUUCGCAGUCAAAUUACAUGGCUGGCCUCAAAGGCACUAGCUUCGGAUUUCCAAACUAAUACUCAUCUCUUAAAAGCCGAGCCAAGAAGAAAAUGCGAGGAAGGCCUCAGAUGCGGGAGACCUCGGGCUUGAAGGUCCAUCUAUGUUUUCCACAGCAAGUUAUGAAACUGGCACCAUCCUUAUCCUCUUUCCAUCUGGAAAGGGUGGUUUCGUCCAAGAUCUUCAAAGGGGAGUGAGCCACUCGAGUACCUUUAGGGAUCCAGUCCAACCGACUCAUGAAGAGUGCAACAGAGGAAGAGGCGGCACUUGCUAGAUACGGGUGAUGGAGAACUUCCCAUGGGAUGGUCCCAGGGUUGAUGUUAGUGGUGACAAAAAUGCAAUUGGAUGAGUCACAACUUGUAAGGAAGAUCCAGAUCCUCAGAGGUACCUAACUCUAUCGGGCCCAGAUCCUCGGAGCAGUACAGGUAUAUAAAGCCCAUUGAUUGCAGAGGGGUUAAGCAGUUUAACACCCUUCUCUAUGGAUUUGAGAACUGAGCAGAGAUCUCAGACUCCAACCUCUAUAAAACAAAAUGGGUGACUUUAGGAUAGCCCAGAAGAGAAGAACAAGGAAUGGUAUGGGGUCAUCAAGUACAACUAACCAAGCAGAGCACCAGUUUUCUAAGGUGCUGCUGUAUGGCUCACUGAAGUCAAUGAAAAGAUCCUUCACGAUUUCGGUAGAUCAGCCCUGGUGCUUUACUCUUCAGCUGAGCGGGUUGGAACACUGCCUGUCUCCUGCCUCUUCCCAGAGAAGGAGGCGAGUGCCUGCAGGUGACCUCCAAGGGAGGUCUCAAAGGCGAUGCACCCGCUCAGGAGCAGCUAACGCUGAUUUGACAGAUCACUUCAAUGGGCUAAUAGCCAAGAAGGUUAAAAUAUUAGUGGAACUUGCACAGACCACACCAGAUGGAAAAGAUCUGAGCUGGGCAAAAACUCUUUGUUGAAACCUGUACUUUUGAGCGAAAUCUUUUCAGAAGGGUGGAACAUCAGGCAAAGGAGCAUCUUACCCUUUGGACACAUUUUUGUGAUACUUCAAAGGAAAAGUUGUGAAUUCUUGCUUGCGGUUUCAUUGAUGUAUAUUCCUUCCAGAACUCUGAAAAACUUCCCUCUCCAACCAGGUUUGGUCCUGUGGGUCAGUGGAUCCUCCUGGCAAGCCGGUGAAAUGUCCUCUGGGCUAAAAAGGGAAAUGCCUUCAGGUCGGCACUUGCACGGAGGCGUCUGCCUCUGCCCUCCCUCCAGGCUAUGGGCUGAAUAUGGCCAAGGUCUUUAGGGACCUAGCACGGGUUGUCACUUUUAGAUGGGCAGGAGGAAGGGGAAGGCAGCAGUGAUGAAGUAAUAGCUGUUAUGGCAGAAUGAGGACUGCUCCAGUGACAUGGUAACACCACGCAGCAGUCCUGGCAUGUGAGCCUUGGUAAACUUAGGGGUUUUAUAGCUUUAUGGAUGCUGACAGUCAAUCUUAGGAAUCCCUUAACAUUAUCAAGCCUACUGCAUUACUUGAUGGAAUGAUUAUUUUUGUAUUAACCUUAUGAAUAUUAACACUCAUAAACUUCUUCCUAAGUAAUUGUUAAUAUACGAUAUUAUGAAAAUAAUAAAAAUGUUGAAGGAGCUUUCAAGCCAGCAUGUGGGCUCUGCUACUCACUUAUUCUGUACUCUUGGAUGAAUCUUUUACUUUCAAGUACCUCUUACUUCCCUCUGAUGAGCUAUCGCUUGUAGAGCCCUGCAAAAAAGUUAAGAAGAUGAUCCAUGAGGGCAGGUUUCUUUGGGAUUUCAGUGCAAGAGUCCUGUAGGCAUUUGACUGGAGUGCGAUGAAGAAAAUGUUCCUAUGCAUCAAGAGGAAUAACACAUGGGCAUGCAGCAAUUCACAGUCCAACAGGAAGAGGGCAGUUAGGUUCGGUAGGUAACGGGAGCGUAUUUUCAGAUCCGCUGACGCCAAUAGCCUAUUGCCAACGGGGCUUUGGGGAGAAUCCACUCUUCUGGGCAUGGCAUUAAUGCAAAAAGACCUGUGUCAUGCUCAAGGUGAAACCGGAUGAGUUCUGUUUCCCAGACACAUCCCUGACAUGGGCUAAGGUCCCAAACUGAAUCCCUUUGUAAUACUCAGGGGACAAAAGGGAUCCCAGAGGCUGCUAGCACACUGAGCCAUUGGAGUAAAGGCCUUUUAAGUAAAAUCCAGGCUCCUUUUUGUGCUUAAAAAUGGUGGGACUGAAAAUACCAGAGUUCCAACUCAUAGAAGUCAUUUAAAUGUGCCGUUGAAACCCCUGAGCCUUGCUGGAUGUACUCUUAAUGUCACAAAAAUCUUGCUGGCAGGUAAUUGUGGGUGCAGAGCUGUCCCUGCCGAAAGCAAAUCUGGAUUAAAAACCAGUUCUUGUUUCAAACGCUUCGGAGCAUGGCUCAGUCGAGUCUUUCCACAACCCUCAGGAAGCAGAAAAGCAAAACCAUUUCUGUCCCUCUUUUACGGAAGGGACUCCGUGGGGAGACAGUCAGUGUUUUCCUUGGAGCGGAAGGCUGAAUCCCAGGGGCACGUGGGCACGCGUGGAGCGGCUCUGCACCUCCAGCCACCCAGGCAGGGGUCUGCCCCUGCUCUGCGCGCACCGGGGUUCACUGGGCUACAGCAAAGAUGUACGAGGGGCAGAGGCAUGUGUUUGGGGUGCCUGGAUUUAAUACAAGGGUAUGGCCAGAGCACAGUUUGGACGCGGCCAGGAGAGCUGCUGUGCGAGGCUGGGAUUCAAGAGCAUCUCUCAGUGGGGCGAUCGAGCACUGGCCCCUGCAUUGGAUGGAAACGAAGCUUGCAAACUCUUGGGCUCUUACGUUAGACUUAUACCCAACCCAACCAGGCUUUCCUGGCUGAGCAGGGUGUCUGUGCUGAUGUGUUUCAUCUAUUAAGUACCAAACGAUGCUGAUAUGCAAAAAGGUUCAGCUUACAUCAAUGCCGUGUUGUCUAGUUAAACAACAAUGAACUGAGCUGGAAAUGUAGGAAGUUUUCCGAGUGGAGUGGAAACUGAAAUCUUUUUUACACAUGGAAAAAACCCGUCUUUUGUGGGCAAGACCAAGGUCCAACAAAAUGGGAGGUACACUGUCCUUAGCCAGGUUCAGCAGCGAUUAAUGAAAACUGAUUUAAAAGGCUCAGAAAUACAAAGUGAUUCCAUCCCUUUCCUUUUUACCCAGAUACUAUCCACCUUCUCUAGUGUGUUUA